AGAAGAAGAAGAAGAAGAAGAAGAAGAAGAAGAAGAAGAAGAAGAAAGGAAGGAAAACUGACCUUGUACCAUGCCCUCUAUGUGCCAGACAUAUGCUAUGUUACACAGUUGAUCUGAUAGUAACACACUGAGGUUGGUCUUUCAUGGAGGAGAAAAUUGUCCAAUGUCACGGUGGCAAAAGUAAGACUUGAACCUAAGUCCCACCAGAUGAUGGCAAGAAUGUGGGCAAACCACUAAGAUGCUGAGCUUCGGGCCACCUGUCUCCAUACUGGGAAUCGCAAUAGCACCUCACUGACCCACCUCCUUGCCCUGUGGGGAGGGAAGACAAUUGUGAGUGCAAAGCUAAUUCACAAGUGUCAGUGGGCUGGGAGCACCUGAGGACAGGGAGAUCCUCCACUGUAUCACAGUGUGCCCAGCACCCAGAUCCAUGCUGGGGCGUCAUCAGCCCUGUACUGAGUAUCAGCCCUCUACUGGAGUGGAGUGAAGCCAUGCCCACACUGUGUCCCGUGGAAAGCAGAGGAGAAUUCUUCUUAUGGUCCGGAUGGAAGGAGUGGGUGCAAACAAGGCGUCCAUCACACGGCAGACCACCCUGAGCAGAGAACGAGCACACAGUGCUAGGAGUAGGAAGCAGAUAAGGGGUCCCCCAAACCUCAUCUUUUGGAUCAACCAAAUUCAUGGCAGCCUAAUCCAAAGAGCCCUGUGGCCCUCUCACAAGAGCUGGGAGUUGAACUGAGGCCCACAGCAUACCUCGCUUUAAUGGGACAGCUGAGCCCAAGCAUUGGUAGUGGGGGCAGGGCAAAGGGGCUGAUGGCGGCCUGAUGCCAACCUCAAAGAAACCACAUGGCUUCUGACACAGGGGCAAACAAGCAAGGUGUGGUGGUUCUCGCCUGUCAUCUCAGCUACUCAGGAGGCUGAGGCAGGAGGACUGCCUGAGUCCAGGAGUUUGAGACCAGCCUGGGCAAUAUAGCAGGACCCCAUGUAAAAAAGAAAAAAAAAAAAGCACAGUAUAGGGAGGACAGACAAGACCCUCAGACCUGGGUAUGGCUAAUCUAAGAGUAAAAAGGGGCCAGGCACGGUGGCUCAUGCCUGUAAUUCCAACACUUUAGGAGGCCGAGGCAGGCGGAUCACAAGAUCAAGAGUUUGAGACCAGCUUGGCCAACAUGACAAAACCACAUCUCUACCAAAAAUACAAAAAUUAGCCGGGCGUGGUGCCAGGCACCUGUAGUCUCAGCUACUCAGGAGGCUGAGGCAGGAGAAUCGCUUGAACCCGGGAGGCAGAGGUUGCAGUGAGCUGAGAUCGCGCCAUUGCACUCCAGCCUGGACAACAGAGCGAGACUCCAUCUCAAAAAAAAAAAAAAAAAAAAAAGUAUUUUAAAAGGAUAAAGUGCCCUGGAGAUGGAGAUAAAACAGAGAAUCCCCAUGAAACCAAGUCAGCCCUGUCGCCAGGGCAUCUCCUGUCUUCUGUUCUGAUGAACAUUAGCGUCACCUCCUCACGGAAGCCUCCCCUGACUCUGAGAGAGAUCUUCACAGUCCCAGGACACCUUAUCUAUACCUGUGUCAUGACACUAACUGCAUUCAGCCUUUUGUUGCAAGCAUUUACAUUCCUAUCUCCUCUUCCUCUGGAACUAAGUGCAGGGCCAGAGACUUAGUAUUCUUGUGUCCUUCUAGGGCAGCUACGACAGUGCCUGGUGCUUGGGGAGUGCUUGACAGAUUCAGGUUGAAGAAACAAAGGCAGGUACAGGCAAGGAAGGGAAUGAGGGGACCGAGGAAGGUCGGAAUGGCCCUGCUGGUCAUCAGGACUUGUGGACCCACUGCCGCCUGCCCUACUAUCCCCCACAUCGUCCAUCCCCCAGGCUCCAACAUGGCCCAGUGGGGUCCCAGACACAUUCGGGGGGCGGGCAGUGGGCGGCGUUUCAGUCUGGGAGGAGGCCUUUUCCCAGGCCCUGUGGACCUCCCCACCGGCGGGAAGCGAUCUUGCCAGGUGAUCCUACCGGAUCGCAUCUGCAGAACUACAACUGAGCCGCUCUCUCGGGUGAUUUGUGUCUCAAAACCACGCCAAGGCUGUAAAUCAGGUGGUAGGAAGCUCUGUCUCCUGUUUUCCUGCUCAGCCAGACGGAGACAGAAUGUACUGCCACCGGCUCCCAAAUCUGGAAAACCAAGUCUGAUUUAAGAGGAGAUGUUUUAGCAGACAUUAGCUCAGGUCAGGGCUGGGGAGCAGGGUCUCUUGCCUCUCCCUUCCUGCUCCGAAGGAGAAGGAAACAGCCACCUCCUCCCCAGCUGGGGGCUGAGUGGGUGGAGAACCUGAAAGGCAGGUGCCUAACAAGCCCUGGGGUUCGGUAGCAGCUGCUUAGAGCUCCUCCCCGGGAGGCUCCGGAGGGGAAUUUUCCACUGCCCCGUUCAAUUUACCAGGACAAUUUAGCUCAGCUAUACCGCGGCCUUGACUAUUUACAGUGGGGAGCGCAGGGCGGUGGAGGAGCCCUCUAAGAGUCCGUGCAAGAGGGCCGCGGCCCAGCUAGAAGGGUCUGCAGGGGGCAAGGUGUGGCGGAGCGGGCUUCAGGCGCAGGUUUUGCUUGCUUUCACCACGCCCCAGGUCUAGCUCACGGCCUGCACCUGGGAUGUUGGGGCUGUGCAGAGGCGCCGUGGGAGGGGAGGAGCAGGGCCCCGGCUGCGGGGAGUUGGGAGAGAAGCCAAAGCGUCUCCCCCCUCCCUCUGUUCCUGCUUUCUCAGGAUGUCUGAGAUGCCCAGCGUGGGUGAGUGCACCCUCCCUCCCUGGCUCUGCUCCUCCCCCUCCCCGGAACCACCACCCCCUCAGCCCUGAGCUGCCGAUGCCCUCGGGGUUCUGUUUUCAUUCCAGGCUGUGGAUCCGGUCGUGGGAAGCAGGUUUCUGUACCUUGACCCUCCAUAGAGUGAACUUCUAGGUUCUGAGCUGACUCCUUGGAAACCCUAGACUCCAGGGACGCGCUUCUAGAACCUGCUCAGAUUGCUACUCAGUUAACAGCCUGGCCCAGGAGGAUUGCAACACCCAGCCUGGCUCCCAGGCAAGCUAAAGAGGGCUUGAUGAUGGGAAGAGGUUAAGGGGUACGUGGAGAGAAAGAAGGAUCAGAAGGCGGAAACAUCAUAGACCUCCUGGGAUGCCUUCUGCAGGAUCACAGAGAAGGCAAAAUUUGUCCUCCUGACUACAAGAUGCCAAGAUACAUUUGUAUCGAGCCACUGAAUUCUCUACCCCUUCUGUAGAGGUGGUUGGGGAAGAGCUGCAGUAGGAAGCUGGGUCCCAAGUAAUGAAGGACCUUUAGAAGCAGAAGGUGUUAGGGUGGGGGCAAAGGACUGAACUCUGACCAACCAGAAGAAAGGAAAAACUGGAGUUCCUUUCCCCUAGGUCUGCCUUUCUUUCUCAGGGUCUCUAUUUACUUCUCAUGCACUUGACUCUCUGCUUCCCUCUCCCUCAUUUCCACAAAGGGGCCCAAGCUUCACAUGCAUCUCGCACCCCCGCACCUUGUGGGCAGGAAAUCUGAGCACAGGCAUUUCCUGUACGCUGAUAAAUGCCCACUGCAAAGAGCCCCAGCCUGAAGGUGGCCCUGUCUCCUAGUUAUGUCCCUCCACAUCCUUAUCUCCCCAGGCUCCAGCCCUCACCAGCAGGGACUCAACAAACGCCAUCUGUCAGAUGAGUCAUGGGACCAGAAGCUUGGGAGAAGACAUGCAGAGCCAACCACUAACAAAACUGGCAAAUGAAAUAAAUGCCCAGAAACCUGCUCCAUCCCCAGCAUUCCUUAAGUCCUAUAAAUUGCACCACCUUUUACCAGUUUUCAGAAACUAAAAGUCAUCCUUGACAUCCGUCCAAUCAAUCACCUCCUAUUUAUCUCCCAAAUUCAUUCUUUUUUCUUUUUGAAACAGAGUUUUUACUCUUGUUGCCCAGGCUGAAGUGCAAUGGCACGAUCUCAGCUCCCUGCAACCUCCGCCUCCCAGGUUCAAGCCAUUCUCCUGCCUCAGCUUUCCUGAGUAGCUGGGAUUACAGGCAUGCGCCACUACGCCUGGCUAAUGUUGUAUUUUUAGUAGAGAUGGGGUUUCUCCAUGUUGGUCAGGCUGGUCUUGAAUUCCCAACCUGAGGUGAUCCACCCACCUUGGCCUCCCAAAGUGCUGGGACUACAGGUGUGAGCCAUUACACCCGGCAAAUUCAUUUUUAUAAUCUUGCCACCCCCACAACCACUGCCCUCAUGGACCCUGGGCACGCCUCACCCGAAUUACAGAAAUUCCCUCCCAGCUGGUAAAACUGUUUGUGUGUGGCUCUCCUUCAUUCCAUCCUCCCUGGUUUAGCCAGAGAAAUAAUUCUAAAAUGUACACAUCCCAAAGCAUCUCAUUUUCCUGCAUGCAGUCUUUCAUCAUCCAUUCACUAACUGGAGGACAACAUCUGAAUUUAUUAGUGAGCAUACAAAGGCUUUUCAUCCGCUGAACCCAGCGCAUCUGCUACCAUUUCCCUGGUCUCCGGUCAGAACUAGUGACUGUCCCAUAAACAGGUUCUGCUGGACUUCCAGUCAAGAUGGAGCGGGCCGCACACAUACAGAGCUGAACUUGUAUCGCCGUGUAGAUGAAGACAAACACCUUUAGGAGAUGGCAGAGAAACAAAAUGGGAAACCCUCAGGUCUCCAAAUGACUACACCAAGCAGAAUUGCCCCACCAGCCUGCACCAUUCAUUUCUAGACUAUGAGCAAGAAGUACACUUCCAUCUUAUUUAAACAACCAUAUUUGGGGUUUUUGUUGUUGUUAUUGUUGUUGUUAUAGGAGCUUAGCUUUUACUCUAAGAAAUACAGCUACUCAACUCACUUCAUUAGGAUCUUAACUAUAAUAUCAAAACCUCCUAAGCACAGAAUAAAAAAUACAGUAGAGCAAUAUCAUUUAUGAUCAUAGAUGCAGAGCUUCCAAAUGAAAUACUAGCAUAUUCAAGGAAAGAUAUAUAUACCAUGACCUAGUUGUGUUUAAUUUCUGGAAUUCAAAAAUGGAAUGUUUGACAUAAGAAAAUCUAUUAGGCCGGGCGCGGUGGCUCACGCCUGUAAUCCCAGCACUUUGGGAGGCCGAGGCAGGCAGAUCACGAGGUCAGGAGAUCGAGAUCAUCCUGGCUAAUACGGUGAAACCCCGUUUCUACUAAAAAAUACAAAAAAAAAAUAUUAGCUGGGAGUGGUGGCGGGCGCCUGUAGUCCCAGCUACUUGGGAGGCUGAGGCAGGAGAAUGGCGUGAACCCGGGAGGCAGAGCUUACAGUGAGCUGAGAUCGUGCCACUGCACUCCAGCCUGGGUGACAGAGCGAGACUCUGUCUCAAAAAAAAAAAAAAAAAGAAAAAAGAAAACAGUUUGGCAGUUCCUCAAAAAGUUAAACAUAGGAUGUUUGAAAAUUUAAACGUAAUAUGACCUAGCAAUUCAACCCCAGGUAUACAACCAAGAGAAUUGAAAACAGGUGUUCAAACAAAAACUUGUACAGGAUUGCUCAUAGCAGCAUUAUUUAUAAUAGCCAAAAGGAAGAAACUACUCAAAUGUCCAUCAGCUGAUGAAUGGAUAAACAAAAUAUGGUGUAUUUCUACAAUGGACUAUUAUUCAAUCAUAAAAAAUGAAAUGCUGAUAAAUGCCAAAAUUGACGAACUUUUAAAACAUGCUAAGUGGCUGGGUGGGGUGGCUCUAGUCCGUAAUCCCGGCAUGUUAAGAGGCCGAGGUGGGCGGGUCACUUGAGCCUGGGAGGUCGAGGCUGCAGAGAGCUGAGAUCGCGCUACUGCACUCUAGCCUGGGUGACAGAGCAGACCCUGUCUCAGAAAGAAAAGAAAAAACAGAAAAGAGAAAGAAGACAGGAGAGGAGAGAAGGGGAGGGGAGGGGAGGGGAAUGGAGAGGGGGAGGGGAGGGGAGGGGAAGGGGGAGGGAAGGGGAGGGGAGGGGAACAUCCUGGCCGGGUGCAGUGGCUCACGCCUGUAAUCCUAGCACUUUGGGAGGCCAAGGUGGGCGGAUUGCCUGAGCUCAGGAGUUCGAGACCAGCCUGGGCAACACGGUGAAACCCCGUCUCUACUAAAAUACAAAAAAAUUAGUUGGGCGUGGCGAUGUAUACCUGUAGUCCCAGCUACUCAGGAUGCUGAGGCAGAAGAAUUGCUUGAACCCAGGAGGUUGAGGUUGCAGUGACGCGAGAUUGCACCACUGCACUCCAGCCUGGGUGACAGAGUGAGACUCUCUCCCAAAAAAAAAAAAAGAAAAGAAAAGAAAAGAACAUGCUAAGUGAAAGAAGCCAGAGAAAAAAAGGCAACACAUUGUAUUAUUCCAUUUAAUGAAAUAUCCAGGAUAAACAAAUCCAUAGAAAUGAAGAGCAGCUGAGGGGUUGCUGGGGCUAGGGACGGGGGGGAUAUCAGGAAUGACUGCUUCAUGGGUACAGAGUUUUCAGGUGAUGAAAUCUUCUAGAAUUAGAUAAUAGUGAUGGUUGCACAACAUUAUGAAAAUACCAAAAACCACUGAACUGUACACUUUAAAAUUGUUAAAAUGGUGAAUUUUAUAUUAUGUGACAAUUUUGUAAAAGAAUUCUAUAUCCAAUGAAAAUAUUCUUCAAGAAUGAGAGGGAAAUAAAGGCGUUCUCAAGUGAAAAAUCAAGAGAAUUUGUCAUUAGUAGACUUGUUGUAAAAUAAAUACUAAAGAAAGUUCUUCAAACGGAAGAAAGAGGAUACCUGAAAGAAAUUUAGAACAUCAAGAAUGAAGACAGAGAAACAAAAAUGGUAAAAAUCUGGUUAAAUAUAAUAGACUAUUUUUAUCUUAAAUUCUUUAUAAUAUGUAUAUGUUGGGGCUCAGAAAACAACACCUCAAAAGUAUGGCGCUUUGGUAUGCUGAACACUUUGAACUAAAAUAGAAAGGACUUAGAAGCUACCUCAGAAUAAGGCCUUUCUGGCCUCAUCUGUUUCUAUCGCCUAGAGACUUCUAGAGACUUCUGGAGUCUCUAUCCCCCUAGAGACUUCCCCUAGAAUUUCCUUAUCUGACUAAGGAAACUUCUUUCCAAAAGAAAUGCAAUUGUCUUAAGAUCCCCUUCCUAGGAAUCUCAUCAAAUAAUCAGAAAAGAUUAACCACCAGAGAAGAAUGGAGACUAAAGUCAGAUGACUCUUCAUCUAGUCCUCUGAGGCAGUGCCAAGAGAUAACCUGGGAGGCUUUAUCUACCAGGUUAAGUUUCACCCCUCACCUUCCGGUAACUUGCUGGCGUCGUUUAGUUUCCUAGGAGAAUCAUUUACAAGAUAAUGUCUGAGCCUCCUGGGCCCAUUCAUUUCCCCUAAAAAUCAUUAACAACCCCUGCAUUUUCCCCAUCUCCCUCUUCCCUAUGAAGCAGAUAUAUAAGCCUCAAUCAUCUGGCCCUUUGGGUCUCAUAUUUAAUAUUGUACCCAUGUUUUUGUAUGUUAAUAAAUUUAUAUGCCUUUUUCUCCUAUUAAUCUGUGUAUUGUCAGUCAUUUUAGCA
rnacentral:lncRNA from 1 species